UACGUAGGGGGCAAGCGUUGUCCGGAAUCAUUGGGCGUAAAGCGCGCGUAGGCGGUUCGAUAAGUCUGCUGUGAAAGUCCAGGGCUCAACCCUGGAAAGCCGGUGGAUACUGUCGGACUAGAGUGCGGAAGAGGCGAGUGGAAUUCCCGGUGUAGCGGUGAAAUGCGCAGAUAUCGGGAAGAACACCCGUGGCGAAGGCGGUUCUCUGGGACGGUACUGACGCUGAGACGCGAAAGCGUGGGGAGCGAACAGG
rnacentral:rRNA from 1 species